rnacentral:rRNA from 1 species
GGGGAAUCUUGGACAAUGGGGGCAACCCUGAUCCAGCCAUGCCGCGUGAGUGAAGAAGGCCCUAGGGUCGUAAAGCUCUUUCGCCUGUGAUGAUAAUGACAGUAGCAGGUAAAGAAACCCCGGCUAACUCCGUGCCAGCAGCCGCGGUAAUACGGAGGGGGUUAGCGUUGUUCGGAAUUACUGGGCGUAAAGCGCGCGUAGGCGGAUUGGAAAGUUGGGGGUGAAAUCCCGAGGCUCAACCUCGGAACUGCCUCCAAAACUCCCAGUCUAGAGUUCGAGAGAGGUGAGUGGAAUUCCGAGUGUAGAGGUGAAAUUCGUAGAUAUUCGGAGGAACACCAGUGGCGAAGGCGGCUCACUGGCUCGAUACUGACGCUGAGGUGCGAAAGUGUGGGGAGCAAACAGG